CCUACGGGUGGCAGCAGUGGGGGAUAUUGCACAAUGGGCGAAAGCCUGAUGCAGCGACGCCGCGUGAGGGAAGACGGUCUUCGGAUUGUAAACCUCUGUCUUUGGGGAAGAAAAUGACGGUACCCAAAGAGGAAGCUCCGGCUAACUACGUGCCAGCAGCCGCGGUAAUACGUAGGGAGCAAGCGUUGUCCGGAAUUACUGGGUGUAAAGGGAGCGUAGGCGGGAUGGCAAGUAGAAUGUUAAAUCCAUCGGCUCAACCGGUGGCUGCGUUCUAAACUGCCGUUCUUGAGUGAAGUAGAGGCAGGCGGAAUUCCUAGUGUAGCGGUGAAAUGCGUAGAUAUUAGGAGGAACAUCAGUGGCGAAGGCGACUAUCUGGCACAUAACUGACGCUGAGGAGCGAAAGCGUGGGUAGCAAACAGGAUUAGAUACCCUAGUAGUC
rnacentral:rRNA from 1 species